rnacentral:rRNA from 1 species
UACGAAGGGGGCUAGCGUUGCUCGGAAUUACUGGGCGUAACGCGCACGUAGGCGGAUUGUUAAGUCAGGGGUGAAAUCCCGGGGCUCAACCCCGGAACUGCCUCUGAUACUGACGGUCUUGAGUCCGGGAGAGGUGAGUGGAAAUGCGAGUGUAGAGGUGAAAUUCGUAGAUAUUCGCAAGAACAGCAGUGGCGAAGGCAGCUCACUGGCCCGGUACUGACGCUGAGGUGCGAAAGCGUGGGGAGCAAACAGG